GAAGUAUGUUCCCUGGACCAGCGGUAUCAACAUCACCUGGGAAGAUGUAGAAGCACAAAUUCUCCUGCCUACUCCAGACCUACAGAAUUAGAAACUCUGGGGCUGGAGCUCAGUAAUCGGUGAUUUACCAGUCCUCCAGGUGAUUCUGAAACAUGCUCUCGUGUGAGGACCACUGCUGUAAAGGCAAGUCUGUCCACUUGUAAAACCCUGUGAUUCUACCUUGCCUGAUAAUCUUCACCAACUCGAAACUGUAGUGAACUCCGUAUCCUCUCAUUAAGCAGACCUCUUGGCCUCAAAAGGAGAUGUAAGUCCUUGGAAAGAGUUAGUGAUGCGACCACUCAAUUCCAUGGCCUCAGUGUCUUACCAAGCCCUUGACUCCUGGUGUUUGUCCUCAUAGUCCCUGUGCUCUGUGCCUGUUAUUAAGGUCAGAAGAACCUACUCCUGCACCCAAACUCACCAUCUGCUUACCCGGCAGGUGAGUUUGGGCAACAUUUUGAUUGACUUUCACCUAUUCCAGAUGAGAAUCUUGAAAAGAGAUUUGGGAACCUUAUUUCUCCUGUUUGACCACUAAAACUGUGCUUAGACCUCUCUUGCUGUACCGCCAUUGUUGUAGUAAACACCGAAGUUCCCGGUUCUGGUGCUGAAUUAGUCCCUUAACAAUAAUCUGCUAGGUGUUCUAGUCACUGACCUGCAUUCGUCCUCUAGUCCUAUUCUGGGGCCCUUAGUCUCUGUUAGGACUCAGUUGAAUCCUUCCCUCAUACCCAACAAAUUUGUAUGUUGGAGUCCUAACCCCCAGGACCUCAGAAUAUGGCUAUAUUUGGACACAGACCUUUAAUGAGAUAAUUGACUUAAAUGAGGCCAUUAGAAUGGGCCUUAAUCCAGUAUGAACAGUGUCCUUAAGAGGAGAUUCGGACACAGAUGUGCACCAAGGGAAGACCCUGUGAAGAUACAGGGAGAAGACGGCGUCUGCAAGCCAAUGAGAGAGGCCUCAAAAGAAAUCAACCCUGCCAACAUCCUGAUCUCAGACCUCCAGCCUCCAAAACUGAAGAUGUGAGACCAUGCCAGGGAGCUGAAGACAAGGUUUUCCUGAAGGGGAAAGGAAGGUUUCAUUGUGAAAGAUCUCUCUCUCUCUCACUCUGGAGAAGGAGGAGGAGGAAGAAAAUGCACAGCCCCUGAGGAGCUCACACUGUUUGGAACCCUUGACUUAGAAGUGAAGAUGACAGACCUUG
rnacentral:lncRNA from 1 species